AGUGGCGAACGGGUGAGUAACACGUGGGCAACCUGCCCAAAAGAGGGGGGAUAACACUUGGAAACAGGUGCUAAUACCGCAUAACCAUAGUUACCGCAUGGUAACUAUGUAAAAGGUGGCUAUGCUACCGCUUUUGGAUGGGCCCGCGGCGCAUUAGCUAGUUGGUGGGGUAAAGGCUUACCAAGGCAAUGAUGCGUAGCCGAACUGAGAGGUUGAUCGGCCACAUUGGGACUGAGACACGGCCCAAACUCCUACGGGAGGCAGCAG
rnacentral:rRNA from 1 species